GUGGGGUAAUGGCCUACCAAGACUGUGAUCAAUAGCUGAUUUGAGAGGAUGAUCAGCCACAUUGGGACUGAGACACGGCCCAAACUCCUACGGGAGGCAGCAGUGGGGAAUCUUGCACAAUGGAGGAAACUCUGAUGCAGCGAUGCCGCGUGAGUGAAGAAGGCCCUUGGGUUGUAAAGCUCUUUCGUCGGGGAAGAAAAUGACUGUACCCGAAUAAGAAGGUCCGGCUAACUUCGUGCCAGCAGCCGCGGUAAUACGAAGGGACCUAGCGUAGUUCGGAAUUACUGGGCUUAAAGAGUUCGUAGGUGGUUGAAAAAGUUAGUGGUGAAAUCCCAGAGCUUAACUCUGGAACUGCCAUUAAAACUUUUCAGCUAGAGUAUGAUAGAGGAAAGCAGAAUUUCUAGUGUAGAGGUGAAAUUCGUAGAUAUUAGAAAGAAUACCAAUUGCGAAGGCAGCUUUCUGGAUCAUUACUGACACUGAGGAACGAAAGCAUGGGUAGCGAAGAGGAUUAGAUACCCUCGUAGUCCAUGCCGUAAACGAUGUGUGUUAGACGUUGGAAAUUUAUUUUCAGUGUCGCAGGGAAACCGAUAAACACACCGCCUGGGGAGUACGACCGCAAGGUUAAAACUCAAAUGAAUUGACGGGGACCCGCACAAGUAGUGGAGCAUGUGGUUUAAUUCGAAGAUACGCGCAGAACCUUACCAACACUUGACAUGUUCGUCGCGACUCUAAGAGAUUAGAGUUUUCGGUUCGGCCGGACGAAACACAGGUGCUGCAUGGCUGUCGUCAGCUCGUGUCGUGAGAUGUUGGGUUAAGUCCCGCAACGAGCGCAACCCUCACUUUUAGUUGCCAUCAUUAAGUUGGGCACUCUGAAAGAACUGCCAGUGAUAAGCUGGAGGAAGGUGGGGAUGACGUCAAGUCCUCAUGGCCCUUA
rnacentral:rRNA from 1 species